rnacentral:rRNA from 1 species
UACUAGAGUAGCACUCGCAUAUCAAUAAGCGGAGGAAAAGAAACUAACAAGGAUUCCCCUAGUAACGGCGAGUGAAGCGGGAAGAGCUCAAAUUUGAAAUCUUAAAGGGUUUCCCUUUACGAAUUGUAGUUUAAAGAAGUGUUUUCUGUUGAGGUUUUGGUAAAAGUUCUUUGGAAUAGGACAUCAUAGAGGGUGAGAAUCCCGUAUUUGACCUUUACUUUCAACUUUGUGAUACACUUUCAAAGAGUCGGAUUGUUUGGGAAUGCAGUCCAAAAUGGGUGGUAAAUUUCAUCUAAAGCUAAAUAUUGGCGAGAGACCGAUAGCGAACAAGUACCGUGAGGGAAAGAUGAAAAGAACUUUGAAAAGAGAGCUAAACAGUACGUGAAAUUGUCAAAAGGGAAGCGUUUGACACCAGUGUUGUUUUUCUGAAAAUCAAUUAAAGAACUGUUUAUGCUAAGUUGUUUAGAACUUUAUCAGCUAACUGUUUAGUUUUGAGCUUUUCUUUAAUGCACUUUUCAGUUAACAAGUCAACAUCAAUUUCUUUUGCUGUAAAAAAGCUUGAGGAAGGUGGCUUGAGAUUCGUCUUAAGUGUUUAUUAGCCUCUUGCCUAUGCAGUCGGAGAGAUUGAGGUCUGCAGCGUAGAUCCUUCGGGGCUAAAUGCAUUUGUGCUAAGUUAUAAGCAUUUUAUAGACAACUUGUUGACUAUGAUUUGUCUUGUAGCUUACUCGCUUAUGUUAUUUUACCUACGCUUAGGAUGUUGAUAUCGCGCUCUCACUG